AUUGAACGCUGGCGGCAUGCCUUACACAUGCAAGUCGAACGGCAGCACGGGUGCUUGCACCUGGUGGCGAGUGGCGCACGGGUGAGUAAUACAUCGGAACAUGUCCUGUAGUGGGGGAUAGCACGGCGAAAGCCGGAUUAAUACCGCAUACGAUCUACGGAAGAAAGCGGGGGACCUACGGGCCUCGCGCUAUAGGGUUGGCCGAUGGCGGAUUAGCUAGUUGGUGGGGUAAAGGCCUACCAAGGCGACGAUCAGUAGCUGGUCUGAGAGGACGACCAGCCACACUGGGACUGAGACACGGCCCAGACUCCUACGGGAGGCAGCAGUGGGGAAUUUUGGACAAUGGGCGAAAGCCUGAUCCAGCAAUGCCGCGUGUGUGAAGAAGGCCUUCGGGUUGUAAAGCACUUUUGUCCGGAAAGAAAUCCUUGGCUCUAAUACAGGCGGGUGAUGACGGUACCGGAAGAAUAAGCACCGGCUAACUACGUG
rnacentral:rRNA from 1 species